UAUUUAAAAUACUUCCCUUGGGUCAAAAAUCCUGAAUUAAUUCAUGUUUGACAUUUUGAAUGUUAUUUAAUGGUUCAUAUUUUUAAUUUUUAUUUUUAAUUUAUUUUGAUAUUUAUUUUGUUUUUUAAUUAUAUGUGUCUAUUUAGGCUAAUUUAUUUUGUUAGGGUUUGAUUCUUAAUUUUCCCAUUUGAGUUUUGACCCAAUAUUUUAUACCCUUGUAGACAUUUGCAUUUAG
rnacentral:lncRNA from 1 species